ACCCUGGAAGGAGAACCAGAAGAGGAGGACUGUUCUCUGGGGACCCAGGACCCCCGGCCCCCCCACCUUGCCCUCCUUACUGAGGCCCUGGGGUCUCAUGGACUUCCUGCUUCCCCUGCCUUCUGCCCGACUUCCCCAGAACUCUGAGCAGGGUAGGAUGGAGGAGCAGAGCCUCUCCCUGUUGUGCUUCUGUCAGCUACCAGCCUAGUGGAAACAGCAGCCUUGUUGGCCAGACCACUGCAAGAGUAGAGUUUAUGAACUUAAGAAGUUUGGGAGGCAGAGGAGGGGAUGCCCGUGUUCCUUAUGGAAGUGAGGUGGUGUUAUCCCAAAUAGACCCUUUGGAAUCCUACUUCCAACCACCACGUGUCAGCUUUGCUGGGGACUGGUCUCCUUAUUUCAGGAGUUUUACAGUGUAAAACCCCAUUCCUAGCACAUGGGGUGUCCAGCACAUCUUUCCCCCUAAACUUUCAGAACUUCAGGGUACUCUGAGCAAUAAUUCCCCGUCACUACAGUUCCUGCCAGUUUGAGUUAUUCAAUGAGGGGCUUUAGCAGAAAUUGGCAGGGUGGGCUUUGGCAGUCUAAGGCAGGCACAGUAUCUUGAGUCCAGUUCUGAAGCUGCACUUGUGUUUUCACGGAGGUCUCUGCCAGUAUGAGACAAGGAAAUGUCCCAUCACUCCUGCUGGAGUAUUCCAUUUUCCUGCCAGAAAUUUCUGGGCAAACUGAACACACACACCCUUUCCAAGAGCCAACAGUAAUCCUCAGAGACAAUGCUAUCUAAGCCCACAUUAAGAAAGAGAACCAUUUCCCUAGAGGCGGCCAGCCUGUCCUCUCUGGAGGUAACAUUCGUACUGAUUACGCAAAGUUCCCAUCUCCUGCUUUCAGAACAGUGUAAGAGGCCUAUGGUACAAAUAAAUAAGCCUUUUGCCCAAGGACAAAGAA